CGAAUAAAUACUGAUAUAAAAAAAAUAAACAAUAAUAAUUAAAUUUUAAAUAUUUAUUUUAUUAAAAUUCUAACUUAUAAAAUAAAAUUAAAAGUAUUUUAAAAUUCCAUAUUUUGUAUUGAUAGCUUGAAGAUUUAUUUUUAUAUGACUGCGGCGUAUAUUAUUUUCUUAUUCGACUCUGUGAAUGACUCAGAAAAUGUUAGUAACUAUGACAAAAAUGAGGACGUGGACGACAUUAACAUAAUGCCUGAUGAUAUAGACCCUUAUUCGGAGGUUUUGAAUUUCCAUCUAACAGAUCUAUUGUUUACGAGAUGACAUGGAUACUCAGCCGUAUUCUGUUUGCAUGCAUCACGAAUUGAGAAAGGAGGCAUAUGAAUUCCCUGAUCUUAUAAAAGAUGAGAUCAAGGAUUAUCUCGAUGAUAAAGUAGCGUCCCCUACAACGAAUAUACUAGAUUGGUGGGAAAAAAAUAGCCUUAUCUAUCCUACAUUGUCGCUGAUUGCAAAAGAUUUUCUUGCCCAGCAAUCAUCAAGUGUGCCGAGUGAGAGAGCCUUUAGCAAGACAGUGGAUUUCCUGACGAAAAAAAGAAAUAGGAUGUCACCAUCCACCUUAAAGCAUUGUUUAUCCUUAAAUAACUGGGAUAUCGAUAUAUGGCAAUAAUAUCUAUAUUUUUUUCUUAUGUUAUACCAUAUAAUAUUUUUUUCUUAUGUUAUAUUUAUAUUAUUAUAUCUUAUUUAGAAACAG